GCCCCGCUGGUGUAAUGGGAGCACACCCUGCCGCUAUGAGACUUGAUGGUCAGCUUACUUACCACGUAUGCCACCUCAUUGGGGCGGAGCUCGUUCGACUCGAGCGCGGGGCA